CAGUCGCCACGGGAAAACCGAGGGUGCAAGCGUUAAUCGGAAUUACUGGGCGUAAAGCGCGCGUAGGUGGUUUGUUAAGUUGGAUGUGAAAGCCCCGGGCUCAACCUGGGAACUGCAUCUAAAACUGGCAAGCUAGAGUACGGUAGAGGGUGGUGGAAUUUCCUGUGUAGCGGUGAAAUGCGUAGAUAUAGGAAGGAACACCAGUGGCGAAGGCGACCACCUGGACUGAUACUGACACUGAGGUGCGAAAGCGUGGGGAGCAAACAGGAUUAGAUACCCCUGUAGUCCCUGUCUCUUAUAC
rnacentral:rRNA from 1 species